UUUUACCAGUUUUUUACUUAUAUUUUAAAGUGCUGUUGGAAAGAGGCCAAGUAAGUUCUCUUUCAAAUAAUAAUAUAUAGACAGAUACUAGUAGUGUUUGGGAGUUAUAUAAGUUUUAAGUGCUGGUAUUGGAAUUUCCUCGACGACGAAAUUUUAUUCAUCUGUCAUGGCACAGAAAGUAGAGAAUAUCUACGGCUUCAAGGCCCAAGACAUUGAUGGGAAUGACGUCUCCAUGGAGAAGUACAAGGACCACGUCUGUAUCAUUGUGAAUGUUGCCUCUAAGUGAGGCAAGACUCGCGUAAACUACACUCAGUUGGUAGAGUUAUUCAAAAAAUACUCUGAAACUGAGGGUUUACGCAUUUUAGGCUUUCCUUGCAAUCAAUUUGGUAAUCAAGAGCCCGGAACGAAUGCAGAAA
rnacentral:misc_RNA from 1 species